rnacentral:ncRNA from 21 species
UUAAUAACUUAAUGAUGCUGUUUUGUUAGAGGAAAGCGGUUGAAAUCCGCUACAGCCCCCGCUACUGUAAUUGCAGACAAGAUCCUCAUAGACCACUGUCAGGCGUAUCCUGACGGGAAGGGAGGAUGGAGAAGGAAGCAAGAGUCAGGACACUUGAAGCAAAGCAAUAUAAUCAC